AUGUGGGUGCAGUCGUUGCUUCGGGAGUUGAAGGUCUCUCCAACUCAGCCGCCUGUUCUUUGGUGUGAUAACAUCGGUGCUACAUACCUUUCAUCCAAUCCAGUAUUUCAUGCCCGAACGAAGCACAUCGAAGUUGACUAUCACUUUGUGAGGGAACGUGUUGCUCAGAAGCUUCUUCAGAUCAAGUUUGUUUCUUCUAAGGAUCAACUUGCUGAUAUUUUCACUAAGCCCUUGCCCUUGCCUUCUUUUGAGGGAUGUCGACGCAAUCUUAAUCUUCUGAGUGUUUCAGGACAUAGUUAA
rnacentral:rRNA from 1 species